GGAAGUAUGGGGAAAUCGGCUAGACCCACCAGAUUUAGGUUCUGGCGCUGAAAUACGCAUGCGAGUUCGAAUCUCGCUACUCCCA
rnacentral:tRNA from 1 species